AACUUGAGUCCUUCUUCCUUCUUUCCUUCCUUCCUUCUUUCUUUCCUUCCUUCCUUCUUUCCAUUAUUCUUCCUUUCUUCUUUCUUUACUUUCAAUGAAAUAUAUCUUUAAGUGAAAAUAUACCAGAAUUUAAUAGGCAUGCUUUUCUAACAAGUUUAUAUAUUUGUAAAUGACACAAAACUAUUUAUGUAAUUUGUGCAUUUUGUGUACCCUAGAGAAAAAGUUGCAUAUAUUUUUAUAUUUGUCUUUAGUUAGUGUGUGUCCCAAGAAAACCCUUGAGAUAGGAAAUUCUGUGAUAGUUAAUAAAACCGAUUAGCCACAGGGCAUAACUGUAGCAUACAAAGAAACUGUUUUAAAUAAAGCUGCUAAAAACAAUCAAAACCCAAGGAAGACUAUGUGAUGUAGAGCCCGAGCUUAGUAAGACCCGUCAGCUGUUGACACCUCAGAAGCUGAGUCUGGGGCUGGGCACAGUGGUGCACACAAGUAGGAAAGAUGAGGCAGAGGCCUUGAGAUGGAGUCCAGCUUGGUUACAUAGCAAUACCUUGGGGUUUUGUUUGUUCAUCUGUUUGUUUUAGUUACAUUUUUGGAUACUAUUGUUUAUAAGAAGUUUCAAAGAGCAUAGAGAAAAAUUCUUCUCUGUUUGUGUUUAACGUCUCUGAGCAAGUUGUGUGUGCCAGUGUGUUUGUAUGAGUGAAUGUGCAGAGGUCAUGUGACAUGUGAAAGGGACAUGUGCCAGAACACAGCUGUCGAGGAAGGUUCGGCUCAAGGAAAGGCUACUUCUUGCAGACUUUAUGCGCAUACUUUUACCAACUCAUAACUUAAUAUCACUAUUAAAAAUACCAUAUUUUUGUUAUAAUUUUCAAUUCUCAUGUUUAUUGGAAGUGUUCAAUGCUGUAGGAAAAAAAAUAUGACGAGAGUAUAAAGCUGCAAGGUCAGGGUUUUGAACUUGACCUUUGUGGCUCUUGAAUGUGCCUUCUGUGCAGUCGAGUGGUCAGCCAUGUAAAAUGGAGUUGAGUGUCUUCUGCCCUGGCAGCAGCUGCGUGCUAAGGGCAGAGCAGCUCCAGCCCUGCUACUGCUCGCUUGCUCGCCUGACUCAUCAUAACUCCGAGAACCAGAGAGUUGUUGGGAAGCACUGUCAUCAUUCACUCCCUCCACAGCUGGGUCCUCAGAGCCAGAGCUAUCAAAACAGCCUACAUGAUGUCCAUUGGACAACAGACCACUGCUUCCUGGUACUGGGGUGAUCUCCCGCAUUCUGACAACGUAAAGCAAACUUGAUUAUUGCUCUUGAGACGCAAGAUGGGUCUAAAGUAUGCAGUGCAGGUAGACACCGAUGAUCCGUGAUGACUCUCGACACUUGUCAGUCAUCUUAGAUUUAUUGCGCUGAACUGGCUCACUGUGAAUUUCCUUAAAGUUUGAUGUCUGGAGCCUCAUUGUAUUUGGGUUUUGAGAGGCAUUUCUGUACUGCGUACAUAAUCUAUGCUCUUGGUCACAGAAUGGAUGUUUUAAGAACAGGAUAGGAAUGAUUUUGUUCAUAAGUGUUCUGAUUUAUUUUGUUACAUGCAGUAGAGAUACUAAAGGUUGAAGGGUUGAUCAAGUAAAACAAUAGAGAAAUCUCUGCUUAUUUCAAUUUCCAUUUAAGAAAGUAACAAACUGCAAUAUUCGCUUUGAGAAGAAGUAGGUGGGCACUUAGGACUUGUCUCCAGCAGAGUUGAAGACAGUUUAGCUCCCACAGUGCUGCGGAUCCCAGCACAAUCCCAGUGCGGUCUCCUUCCCCUGGCUGCACCUUACACUUGGUGUCCAUGUGUAGAACAGACUUUUAUAAAGGCUGGGAUGGGAAGGGAUGCUCUGCCAGUGUCUUAGUCCUUGCAGCACAUGGAUUUAUUUUGUAUUUUAUUCUGUUCUCAGAAUACUAAAACUAGUUAAAAUGUUAUAAAGUGCUUAUUCAGGAGACAAGAAUAGUAUUUGUUUAAUCAAGUAUAUUAUCAUAUUGAACUUUCUGCUAGUUCGUUUGUAUCCUUGAAAAACAAAAACUAAAGCCCCUGGCUGUAGUUUUGCUCUGAGAAAACCUUCUUAGUAAAGAUAGGCUUUGACAUGGAGAUUUAGUGUUUGUGUUAGCUAAACCUGCUCUGCUUUCUGUUCAGGAGAAAAUAUUUGGCUUCCAAAAUAUUUAGCUCUUGGUGAUAGUACCCAAAGAUAAUGGGAACGUGUUUGUCUGUGUACUUGUUGGUAAUUGCACUAGUCAGCUCAGAAUUUAGUACCUUGACUCUCUAGUAGAGGUCCAGGUGUGUUCCUGUUAGCCACCUAUCAUGUGUGCUCUUCUGUAAAAGCAGUAGGGUAUGGCAAAGGCGUGCUGGCAGUGCUGCCCAGAAGGUUUCCUUUAAGAACCCACAGGUAAAGCCUUGGGAUAUUAAAGGCUCUGCCUUUGCACUGGUCUUGGAUGUAUCCCUCUCUGCCCACCUGGGAAGCUUUAAGGCUUGUUGGCUUUAAUUCUUUUUGUGAAGAGUGGCUCAUUUCAUUUUUAAUUUAUAACAUUACAAAAGAAGGACAAAGAUUAGGUGUAGAGUAUGUAUUUAUUGUCAGUUCUCAAACAGCAUGUAAAUAUAGUGAGUGUGCUAUAAGGAAGUUUGCAGUGCCUUAAGUUAAAGGGAGUACAUUGUUUCAACUUGUAGAUAAUGACUUUGCUUAUGAUUAAAAUGUAUGUAAAUAAAGUCUACCCAAAC
rnacentral:lncRNA from 1 species